UACGGAGGGUGCGAGCGUUGUCCGGAAUCAUUGGGCGUAAAGGGUGCGUAGGUGGCCACUUCAAGCGUGCGGUGAAAGUCGGGGGCUCAACCCCUGAUCGGCCGUGCGAACUGGGGGGCUGGAGCACUGUAGAGGCAGGCGGAAUUCCGGGUGUAGCGGUGGAAUGCGUAGAGAUCCGGAAGAACACCGGUGGCGAAGGCGGCCUGCUGGGCAGUUUGCUGACACUGAGGCGCGACAGCGUGGGGAGCAAACAGG
rnacentral:rRNA from 1 species